rnacentral:rRNA from 1 species
GAUGAACGCUGGCGGCGUGCUUAACACAUGCAAGUCGAACGAAGCACUUUAUUUGAUUUCCUUCGGGACUGAUUAUUUUGUGACUGAGUGGCGGACGGGUGAGUAACGCGUGGGUAACCUGCCUUGUACAGGGGGAUAACAGUUGGAAACGGCUGCUAAUACCGCAUAAGCGCACAGCAUCGCAUGAGGCAGUGUGAAAAACUCCGGUGGUAUAAGAUGGACCCGCGUUGGAUUAGCUAGUUGGUGAGGUAACGGCCCACCAAGGCGACGAUCCAUAGCCGGCCUGAGAGGGUGACCGGCCACAUUGGGACUGGGACACGGCCCGGACUCCUACGGGAGGCAGCAGUGGGGAAUAUUGCAAAAUGGGCGAAAGCCUGAUGCAGCGACGCCGCGUGAGCGAAGAAGUAUUUCGGUAUGUAAAGCUCUAUCAGCAGGGAAGAUCAUGACGGUACCUGACUAAGAAGCACCGGCUAAAUACGUG